rnacentral:rRNA from 1 species
GGAUUGGAAAUGGGGGAACCCUGAUCCAGCAAUGCCGCGUGUGUGAAGAAGGCCUGCGGGUUGUAAAGCACUUUCGGUUGGGAAGAAAAGUUUGGCGCCAAUACCGCCGAACCUUGACGUUACUGACAGAAGAAGCACCGGCUAACUCUGUGCCAGCAGCCGCGGUAAUACAGAGGGUGCAAGCGUUAAUCGGAAUCACUGGGCGUAAAGCGUGCGUAGGUGGUCAUGCAAGUCGGGUGUGAAAUCCCCGGGCUUAACCUGGGAACUGCAUUCGAUACUACAUGGCUAGAGUAUGGUAGAGGGAAGUGGAAUUUCCGGUGUAGCGGUGAAAUGCGUAGAUAUCGGAAGGAACACCAAUGGCGAAGGCAGCUUCCUGGACCAAUACUGACACUGAGGCACGAAAGCGUGGGUAGCAAACAGGAUUAGAUACCCUGGUAGUCCACGCCCUAAACGAUGAGAACUAGCCGUUGGGGGAAUUAAAUCUCCUAGUGGCGCAGCUAACGCGUUAAGUUCUCCGCCUGGGGAGUACGGCCGCAAGGUUAAAACUCAAAGGAAUUGACGGA